CAAGUCACGGGGGUCCGCAAGGGCAACCGGCGAACGGGUGCGGAACACGUGAGCAAUCUGCCGAUUACUGGGGGAUAGCCGGCCCAACGGCCGGGUAAUACCGCAUACGCUCAAGAGGGGACAUCCCCAUUUGAGGAAACCUCCGGGGGUAAUCGAGGAGCUCGCGUCUUAUCAGCUAGUUGGCGGGGUAACGGCCCACCAAGGCUACGACGGGUAGCUGGUCUGAGAGGAUGGCCAGCCACAUUGGGACUGCGACACGGCCCAGACUCCUACGGGAGGCAGCAGUGGGGAAUAUUGCGCAAUGGACGAAAGUCUGACGCAGCGACGCCGCGUGUGGGAUGAAGCUCUUCGGGGUGUAAACCACUGUUGCCCGGGACGAAUCUCUGGUUUCGACCAGAUUGACGGUACCGGGUGAGGAAGCACCGGCUAACUCUGUGCCAGCAGCCGCGGUAUACAGAGGGUGCGAGCGUUGUCCGGAAUCACUGGGCGUAAAGGGCGUGUAGGUGGCUCGUUAAGCGUGUGGUGAAAGCCUGGGGCUCAACCCCAGGUCUGCCGUGCGAACUGGCGAGCUUGAGUACAGUAGAGGCAGGUGGAAUUUCGGGUGUAGCGGUGGAAUGCGUAGAUAUCCGAAAGAACACCGGUGGCGAAGGCGGCCUGCUGGGCUGUUACUGACACUGAAACGCGACAGCGUGGGGAGCAAACAGGAUUAGAUACCCUGGUAGUCCACGCCGUAAACGAUGGGUACUAGGCGUCUGGGGGAGCGACCCCCUUGGGUGCCGGCGCUAACGCAUGAAGUACCCCGCCUGGGGAGUACGGCCGCAAGGCUGAAACUCAAA
rnacentral:rRNA from 1 species